rnacentral:lncRNA from 1 species
GUAUUUCCGCCGGCGCGAAACGAGCGUAGCUUCCUUGUCGUGUGGCCUCAGUCCUUCGCCGUCCCUCGCCGUCCUUCGCCAUCGCACGCCACCGCACCCCAUCUCUCGAAAUCUGCAGACAUCUUGAUUUUUCCCACGCUGUCUGUCAGGUCUCCGCCGCCACUCGACGCCAGGGCGCCGGGCCUUGUGGGCUGUGCUGCACCUCGGACGGCUUCGCACCAGCCAGCGCCCUCUCUCUCCUGCAGCACUCUGAUCUGCACCCCCUGAGGGGCUUCCACUGUCCGCGGGGUGAGAAUGCCCCUGGGAGUGUCACAUGACUGCCGCCCCAUGUGUGUGAGAGGCGUCCUCUGGGAGAGCAUGGAUCCUGAGGUCCCAGGAACAUCCCGAGAGCCAAGUUCCCAGAUGCCAGCCAAGGGCCAUCUGACCUGUUUUGAAUCUCAAUUUCCUGAUACAGAAAACAAAGGAUUGUCAGCUGACCUCUGUCCUGUGUGCCCAGUGGCCCCAGGUGACGUGUCUUCAAGAAGAGGCUGAGCUGCGGUGCUUGUAAGAUGGGUCUGCUGUGUGCAGAGGCUCCAUGGGAUGUGUUGUCUUCAUAGUAGCAGGGCGCUGGACCAUGGGUCCGCAAGGUCUCAGCCUUAGAUCCAAGGACAGUCCAAGGAAGUCCUAAGACCAUGGAGUUGGUGAUCUGGGAUCUGGGUUUGCUGAUAUUUCUCACCGUGAAUCUCUUGGUGGUGUUUGUGGGCACGAGAGGGGCAGAGAAUGGAGAGUGAGGCUACCACAUGAAGCGUCACCAGAGCUGCUCCCUGCUGCCUGCUCAGAGCACCCCGGAUCCACUGUUCAAUCUGCACAAGAUUCGGGGUCCAGACAUGGGAGACUUCAGCUGCCUCAGAGGACCGUGGACAGGGAAGGCCAGCCUCGCAUCCCUCUGUCCAUGCCUGGAAUGACUUUAAUAACCAAGAGUUUUAUUUUUGAAUUUGUAGCUGUCGUUCACUUUUUACCCACCCAUUCAAUAAACCUUACAGAAUUGCUCCA